rnacentral:rRNA from 1 species
AUUGAACGCUGGCGGCAGGCCUAACACAUGCAAGUCGAGCGGAUGAAGGGAGCUUGCUCCUGGAUUCAGCGGCGGACGGGUGAGUAAUGCCUAGGAAUCUGCCUGGUAGUGGGGGAUAACGUCCGGAAACGGGCGCUAAUACCGCAUACGUCCUGAGGGAGAAAGUGGGGGAUCUUCGGACCUCACGCUAUCAGAUGAGCCUAGGUCGGAUUAGCUAGUUGGUGGGGUAAAGGCCUACCAAGGCGACGAUCCGUAACUGGUCUGAGAGGAUGAUCAGUCACCCUGGAACUUAGACACGGUCCAGGCUCCCACCGGAGGGAGCAGUUGGGAAUUUUGGACCAUGGGCGAAAGCCUGAUCCAGCCAUGCCGCGUGUGUGAAGAAGGUCUUCGGAUUGUAAAGCACUUUAAGUUGGGAGGAAGGGCAGUAAGUUAAUACCUUGCUGUUUUGACGUUACCAACAGAAUAAGCACCGGCUAACUUCGUG